rnacentral:ncRNA from 1 species
UUACAGAUAAGUAAAUUGAUUCGUAUAGAUUCGAGAAUAAGGCUCGAAAGUUUCUACCAGAUGGCCGUAAACCAUUUGACUACGAAUCUUGAUUAGGGGAGU